AUGAAUGUGUGUGUGCAUGUGUGUGUACUGUGUUCAUGCGUGCCUGUUUGUGCAUGUGUAUGCACUGUGUGCCUGUGUUUGUGCAUAUGUGCAGUGUGCCUGUUUGUGCAUAUGUAUGUGCAUGUGUGUGCACUGUGUCUGUGUUUAUGCAUAUGUGUGUGCACGUGUAUGCAUGUGUGUGCACUGUGCGUGUGUCUGUGUUUAUGCAUGUGUGCACUGUGUGCGUGUGUGCCUGUUUAUGCAUAUGUGUGUGCACGUGUGUAUGCGUGUGUGCAGUGUGUGCCUGUAUUUAUGCAUGUGUGUGCAUGUGUGCACCUGUGUUUAUGCAUGUGUGUUUAUGAAUGUGUGUGCACAUGUGUAUGCAUGUGUGCUCUGUGUGUGCCUGUGCAUGUGUGCACGUGUGUAUGCAUGUAUGUACACUGUGUGCCUGUUUGUGCAUAUGCGUAUGCAUGUGUGUGCACUGUGUGCAUGUGUGCCUGUUUAUGCAUGUGUGUGCAUGUGCGCCUGUUUAUGCAUUUGUGCAAGUGUGUAUGCAUUUGUGUGCACUCUGUGCGUGUGUGCCUAUUUAUGCAUACGUGUGUGCACAUGUGUAUGCAUGUGUGUGCACGUGUGUGUACUGUGUGCAUGUGUGUGUUUAUGCAUGUGUGUGCACGUGUAUAUGCAUGUGUGUGCACUGUGUGCCUGUUUGUGCAUAUGUGUAUGCAUCUGUGUGCACUGUGUGCAUAUGUGUGCCUGUUUAUGCAUGUGUGUGCAUGCACCCUCAGAGCCCCCCUGGCCACACAAGGGAUGACUGAGGUUCACGUCCGUCUAGUGUAUCCACGAUGGGACAGUUCCUGCCCAGCCUCACGUACCACAGAAGAGCUCACAUCCAGCAGCAAAGCAAAGCUCAGGCCACAUCACCAGCUUGCUCAGAAUUCACAGGACGGGGUGAUUUCCUCCUUAAGUUCCUUAGCCCUGGGGACACUGUCUUCAAGCGGGGCUUUUUGCUCCACAAAGCCUGCCUCUGUGUGA
rnacentral:lncRNA from 1 species